GAGAAGCUUUCUGCAAACACAGUCUGCAGAUCAAACUUACAGAGAGACACCAGGUCAAAGGUCAGUGUCAGCUCGGAGCUUUUUGACGUUAAGAUUCAGCACUGUGUCAACAACGAGGCGUACUUCGGCCCGGGGACUAAACUGACUGUUUUAGAAGAAGGACUUAAGGUCACUCCACCGACAGUCAGAGUUCUCCCAGCUUCUCCAAAGGAGUGUGGACACCAGAGUAAGACCAUCGUUUGUGUGGCCAGUGGAUUCUACCCGGAUCAUGUCAGCUUCUCCUGGACCGACAAAGAGGGCGAGGUCAGCUCAGGUGUGGCGACGGACAGCGAGGCCGUGCUGGAAGAAGGAAAGACCUACGUGAUGAGCAGCAGGCUGAGGGUCUCUGCUGAAGAGUGGAACAAUCCUGACAAUGAAUUCACCUGCACCGUCCGCUUCUUUGACGGGACAAAACGGUCCCUUACUCUGCUUCAGUUAAAGGAAUCUGAAAGAAAAACCAUCACCAGAGACAAAUAUCUGAAGGUCACGCAGAGCGCCAAACUGACGUACAGCGUGUUCAUCGUGAAGAGCUGUUUCUACGGAGCGUUUGUAGCUUUUCUGCUGCUCAAGUUUCAGGGGGCGAAGCAGAAGAACUGA